rnacentral:lncRNA from 1 species
GUAAAUAUGACCAAAUUUUCAGAGAGGCCCAAGGUUAGCUAAGCUUAGUUCACUUUUCCAUUAGCUCAAGAGAGACUAUGGCUACCAAAGUGGAUUGCAUGUCUUUUUGUGGUUCUGAGAUUCUUGAGUGUUCCUUGGUUUUGUAUUAUUUACAGUUAAAGUUUAAGAUUAAAAUUCUUUUACUUGGCCCUCAAAAGAGUAACCAUAAUUAAUCUUAUAGCAUUAAAUUCAUUGGCAAUCUGCUUUGGAGGGAAUAAACUCAUGUUCUGCAAAAGGGCUUGGAUAUACAGAAUUUCAAUGCUUCAAAUGAUGUAAUUGUCUAUAAUAUUUAGCCUGCCAUUUUUAGUUUGGUAUUCGUAUAAUAUGAGAUUUCGAAGAAAAAGCUAAAGAGAGGCUAAUUUGCUUGGUAGUGCUUCUGUUCUUUUGUUCUUUUAGAAUCUAAAAUUAACCAACAUCUGCAGUGUCAACAAGGACUCCAUAUGGCAUUCAAGUUUGUACUUUUCCUAAAUAAUGCAUUUGAGGCAAUGUAAUCUGAGAGGAAUUCUGAGGUAAUAAUGAGCAGAAUGUGUUAUAUUGUAUAGCACUUUAUAGUUUCAAAGUUAUUUAACAACUAGGACCUUAUUUGAUCCUCACAACAACAUUAAGAGGCAAGGAGGUGUAGGGUAUUUAUUAUUCCUGUUGAAGAGAUGAGAAGGCAGAGAUCCAAAGUAUUGAAGAGACAUGACCAUAGUCACAAACCUGGUAAAUAGCAGGGUGAAAAUAAAAUCCAGGUUAUCUGAUUCCUAAUUCAAUGCCCUUUCUACCAUAUUACUAGAAUCAAGUUAUUGACAACCCAUGUUAUGAUAGCAUGCUUUGAAAAUAAUAGAUUCCACAAACAACUCUGCAGGUAAAUAAAAAGAACUCAAUCAUGCAUGUUUGAUUUUUGAAAGUUUAAUGGAUUUCACUUGCUCAAUUAAGUUAGCAGAUGAUUUCUAUAGGAGUUCAUCUAUAGUUACACUUGUGAUUUUCUAUUUUACCUCCAAAAGUUUUCACUCAAAUCCUUUUUCUCCUUGUGAAGUUGUACCUCAUAAAUCGUUAUUAGUCAUAUCUUAAAAAUUCAAAAACUUUCCUGUAAGAGAGGUUACAACUAAGUGUUUUCCUCACAGUAAUAAAUAUAAUUUAUGUCCAGCUGAGUUUUGAAACUUUUUGUUUCAAUUCAAACUUCUGUAAAUUUCUGUAUCACAGCAAUCAGAAUUUCUGGGACAAAAAGAAAGUUGUUUGAAGCUAAAGAACAUUCUAGAAACAUAACUUGUGACUGGCACACAAAUGUAAAUUUAGAAGGACUCAUUUUUUAAGCAUAAAUAAUGUUACUGCCAAUACAUACCUGACAGAAAUUUCUAGCUAUGUAAUAGUACCAUUUCUACUUUUAAAUGCAGUGUAAUUCAAUUGCUUCCAUUUCUUGAAAGUUUGAGGCUUAAAAAUUAUGAAUGCUGGCAUUCUGGAAGAGGAGCACUGUGAGUUCGUAACAUCGAAAAGGUGCUGGCGUUCUCAGACAUUGACAGGCAGAUAUAUUUCCAACAAGUGGAAACACAGGACUGCACUGGGAGAAGGAGCAGACAACAAGAAUUUUCAUCAUGAUUUGGCUUGGUCUAUGCUGGUUCUGCAGAGACUUCACAAAGUGCAUCUUUAGGAAGCAUCUUCUACCAAGUGGAAAGCUGGCAAGAGGCAGCAGUAGAGGCUGCUGACACCAAAGCAACAGAGCUUACUUAAAACUUAGAAAAAAAAUUGUUUCCAUUAGUUGUUUGGAUAUGUCUCAAAGAACCACAAACAGAAAAGCAAUAUUUAAAGUUGCUACUGUCCAAACAUUCUUGCAACUCUAAUAUCCUACCUACUCAGUGUCUGAGAUUUGUGGAAAUACACUCCACAUUUUUGAAAAGGAGAUCAUUUAACCUAAGUAGAAUGUUGUCUCUCCAUACACGAGCAUACCUGGACAUGGGAGUGGUAAAAAAGAGAGAAAGAAAGUGACAAAGAGAACAAUAUGGAAUGUACAAGGGAGUCAGAGGAAUUGAGGGGAGGUGGAGAAUUUGGGGAGGAAAGCCUUGAGAGAGGAGGUUUAAAUCAUUUGAAAAGGCAAUAAUUCUGUCUGGCAAGUCCUGGGAAUCUGUGAGGAGGGAGCAAAGGGUGACAGAAGAGAGUGGCUGUGGCGGUAGCAUUCAGAGGGACUCUGGUUGCAGAGAGAUGGCAGGUGCAGAGGCGGGGCAUGAGGAAGUACCCGAGCCACCAUGAGAACCUCCACUGUGGCUGUUUGCUCUUCACUUAUUUGGUUAGGUCUAGUUUUGGCCCCCCUUCCCACCAUACCUCUGCCCCCGACUGCAAGAAAAAAUUGUAUUCAGUAGGCUCAACUUUGUUUAACUUAGUUUUAAUUGUCCACCAAGUGAUUUGUGGAGAUGAGGACUGGUAGUAACUUAGCAAUGACUUCAGAAUCCAGAAUCAGAAUUGGAGUGAUAGAACUUUGUUCCCAGUCAACCCACUCACAACAACAGACCUCUCUGUUCUACAGUAAAGUAAUGUGGUCCCUUGACUAUUCUGCUGCUAAUGAAUGGAUUGGACAGAAAAGCAAUGGAAGGGCCGAUACAACUCUCACAACAGUCCAACUCUUUUCUGCCAGAUUGGCUUAAAAAAAAAGGCAGCUGAUCAUGGCAAAUCAAGUUAGCCAAUACCUGUAUUGUCUGCCUGAAUUAUAAAGCAUAACAGUAC